rnacentral:lncRNA from 1 species
GCAAUGGCAUAUGCUAGGAUGACCAUCAGGUGAGGGCUGGAGGAAUGACCCAAUCAACUUCAAUAGAGAGAGGAAGGAUGGCUGUGGGAGAACCUCUAUUCAUCCUCUCCCUCAUUAUCUUUUAUAUUUAUUUAUUUAUUUUAUUUAGCAAUUAUUUAAGAUCCUUAACUACAAGAAAAUUAAUUAUUAGCAAUGGCAUUUAGCCGUCGCUAAUAAAGAAUAUUCUUGUAGUGCUUUCAAAAAUAAAUAAAUAAUAAAAUGUCACAAAUCCUCUAUG